GCAAUUUUGUGGGCCGAUAAAAAAAUUUUUCAAUGUCAUGGAACUAUUUUAUUUGACUGAAAAUAGUCUUCUAUUUCAGAUUUUGCCCUUGAAUUGGGUAUUUAAUUUUUUUGUGAAAGAGCCCAUUACAAUUCAAGUCAUUACAGCCAUAUCGAAAACCCUUCGGGUCUUGCUAAUUUUCUUGAUAUACUUCUUCUUUUGUCAUUUUAUUCAGUAACUAGAAACAACAAGGUGUGUCCUCUCUGAGAGUAAGGCCUGCAAAAGGCAAGUCGUGUUCAGAGUAGAUCCAGUGAUUUUAAGAAGUCUCAGUAAAGAACAUGUUUGUUGUUGAACAUGAUACAAAAAUACGUACGUGCGUGUAAUCAAACACAGUAAUGACAAUAUGCUUUAUCACUGCAGUGAAAUAAUUCUUUCGUAAUAUAAUGUGUAAUUUUUGUUUCAGCUUUUACCAAGAUUCAUUCCGGUAAUUUCAUCGGAGAUUAUGUGCAAUAUGCCAUUUGUGGUAUUAUGGCGACUUUGGUUCUCACAGUCCUUUUAUGCCUCACUUAAAUCUAGUUCAACAAAGGUUAUAGUGGAAACAAAGCGUUUGGAAUAUUGGGCACUAUAUUCUACACUGUUGUGGCCCUGACUAUUUUCUUUUCAAGUUCUGUUCCUCUCGCAUCUAUCCAUCCUAAAACAAACUCUACCGUUCACCCAACGUUAAAAACAACAUACAACAGAUUACACAAGACAAGAAUCGUGAAUCAGUAUGGAUUGUUCCCAAAAAUAGUCGGCACUGAAGGCAGGCCAGAGAUUAUUUUGGAAGGGUCAAACAGUUUGGAAGGGCCCUGGAAAGAGUACAAUUUCCUUUAUAAGCCAGGCAAUGUCAAUCAUUCUUUGCCCUUUGGUGUUCCAUAUUCACCAAAACUGGAUUGGCAGUUCUAUUGGACAGCACAGAGUACUUAUGACAAACAACCCUGGUUACUGUCUUUGACCCAUAGGUUGCUGACUGGUAGGCCAGAAGCCCUUUCUUAUUGAUAAAAGUCAUUCGGCCUUUGGAGAUAAGCCUCCCAAGUACAUUAGGGGCGUUUUGUAUAAAUAUAAAUUUACUACAAUGAGUCAACAUUCUGGUACAGCUUGGUGGGUGCGUGAACGAGUGGCUGGAAUAUUUUUCACCCUAUUCUAAAGACUCGCCCGCCCUGGAAGAUUUCUUGAAAGCCAGAAAUCUAUUGCCUACCAGCAAACCCUCCGAACUGAACCCUC